rnacentral:rRNA from 1 species
UACGUAGGGUGCGAGCGUUGUCCGGAAUUACUGGGCGUAAAGCGCGCGUAGGCGGCUUUGCAAGUCGGGUGUGAAAUCCCCAGGCUUAACCUGGGAACUGCAUUCGAGACUGCAUUGCUAGAGUAUGGGAGAGGGAAGUGGAAUUUCCGGUGUAGCGGUGAAAUGCGUAGAUAUCGGAAGGAACAUCAGUGGCGAAAGCGAACUUCCUGGACCAAUACUGACGCUCAGUGUGCGAAAAGCGUGGGGAGCAAACAGG